UCUCUUAGAUGAGCAAAGAAAGUGGUUUCUUGAAGUGGAAUCUACUCCUGGUGAACAUGCUGUGAC
rnacentral:pre_miRNA from 1 species